rnacentral:misc_RNA from 1 species
AAAGUUAUGGCAUCUCCUUGUUCAGUAAAGCGUUCUUUCUGGCAUAGGUUGUCCAGAUAGUCCAGUGUUUCUAAACCUUCGAUCCUUAUUUCACUUAUGUCGGAAACAGAGAAGUAUGUAUGAUAAGCAAAUGAGAAGCUGAACUGUUUGCCAUUAAUAUUUCUGAUCCGAGAUAUCAAGGACAAGCUUCCAUCUGAUGCCAGCGUAAUCCGGAGGCGAAACUCAAAACUGUGGGGCCAGAACUUCAGAUCAUCUUCUGAAGGUUUGAGCAGCAAGUCAAUGAAAGAUUUUCCUUGUGGGUCAUAUGUGAAUAAAGAUGGAGGGUCAUCCUCAAUGGUCCAGAUUCUGUUUCUUGCGAAUCCAAGUUGCUCAAGUGAACCAGCAUUUCCAUACUGGGGAAAGCAAGCUGAGAUUCCUCCUCGUGUAGCUUUUGGAGACUUGAAGAUGCUCUUACUGCUAUUGAAUAGGAGUUCUUCCCCUCGUUCAUUCCGCCAAGACGUAACUUGUCCUCCUUGCAAGCUAACCCGUGCAGAGGCACCCUGAGGGUUCCGAAGCACAACCUGUUCAAUCCCAUUCCAAUCUUUUGUUACUUCAGUAGCUGCUGUAUGAUCCCAGACUGCUGCAUAGUGCCCCAUUUUCUAAGCACUUCUUCCUUGGUUCACAAUAUCUCUAAGAAAAAUCCUUGAAAACCCUUACUAUGCUAUUUGGACUAAAACUGCUUCCAGCAAUGAAUCGACCAGACAAAUGCCUCCAGUAUAUAUAUGAUAUUUUCGACUAUCUUAAACACAACCCUUCCCGGAAUCUUGUAAUCUAGUGAACCCCACAAUACAAAAAAUCUUCAACACCAAUCUGCCUUUCUAUUCUGAACUUUUUCACAAACUCUCACAUUCAAUGUAAAUUUACACAAAACCAACUUUCCUUUACCAGCAAAUCAGACUUCUAACUUGAACAACAAAAAGCAACAUCAUCUUCUUAAGCUACCCCCCCAAGAAACCAACAAAAUAUGACAUUUGGCAACAAAAUGUAGUAGUACCCAAAUCCUAGCUAAAUUCACGGAGCAGCAUGUGAUAUUUACUUAUAACAGGGCUAAUCUUGAAAACUUUGCAAGAGACUCAAUUAUAAUACUGCAUUUACAAUUAAAGGGUGUUGCAAAAAUUGAA